rnacentral:tRNA from 1 species
GGAUUGUGGCUUAGCGGUAGAGUGCUCACCUCGCACAUGCGAAAUCCCGGGUUUGAUCCUCAGCACCA